rnacentral:lncRNA from 1 species
UUUUUUUUUUUUUUUUAAAUGAUAUGAUCCAAAAUCCUAAUGAAAAUGUGUCUCUAGGUUAUAGAAGAGCAAAAUGAAGUUCAGAGGCAACUUUCUCAAGAACCAAAUGCCAGAACAUUACAAGAUGGAAUUCUGAACAAUCAACUUUGCAAAUGGAAGGAGAUAAAAAUGUCUCCUACUGUCUACGGCCAUACCACCCUGAACGCGCCCGAUCUCGUCUGAUCUCGGAAGCUAAGCAGGGUCGGGCCUGGUUAGUACUUGGAUGGGAGAAAUGUCUCCUACUAAAAUGAAUUCUGAGGUAUUUUCCCUAGUUAUUUUGAAUUACAUGUGUGCAUAAAUUUUUAUGUAUGUAUAAUACAUUUUUGGAAUUACUUUCUUCAUGUAUGUAUAUAUAUUUUAAAAACCAACACUGUACGUCAUGGAAAGUACAGAGGGUUUUAAAAGAAUAUAUAUAUAUAUAUUCUUAUAUAUGUAGGGGGGAGUGGCAUUUUUGGCCCAUUAGUUAAUUUAAGUGCAUUUGUCUGCAAGGGUCAAAUAGUGACAUCCAUAAUGUCCUUAUCUAAAGAAGUUUUUAUUAUUUUGGAAAAUAGUAUGGAAUUUAUGAGCUUUCCAUAAGCUCAAAACUCGUGCUACUAACAACAUAUGUUUUAGUUUUUGGCAAUUACUUGACCACCUCUGUAUUAAUAGAGAGGUUAGUUUCACACUUCCACUGAUAAACAGGAGGAAAAGUGUAGCCCAUUCAGAGACCUUACUUCAGAGACCUUACUUCAGAUGUUCCUCUCCUACUUUUGAGAAGAGUAACAAUUUGCUCCAAAUAGUAUCCGAUUUCAUUACAAGGAGCUUUUGAAACAAUCAUAUGCUGUAAUAUAUACUUACUGAUAAUUUAUUGAUAAGUCUUUUGUUCUUAAUAAAAUAGCUCAGUGUAUUUUCCCCUAUUUUACAUUUAUUGCCAUUUUAAACAUCUGAAGAGGAAAUAAAAUUUGUUGCAGCCAGAUAAUCUCAUGAUUUUUCUAGGAGCUACGUAAAUUUUACCUGAGUUAGCAUUGGUAUUUUGAAAUGUAAGGCUGCUGCUGCUUUUUGUUUUUCUUUGUAAGAAAUUUUAUGGAUUCAUUUGACAGGGAGAGCACAAGCAGGGGGAACGGAGGCAGAGGGAGAGGGAGAAGCAGGCUUUCUGUGGAGCAGGGAGCCUGACAUGUGACUUGAUCUCCGGACUCAGGGACCAUGACCCAGCCAAAGGCAGAGGCUUAACUGACUGAGCCACCCAGCCACUCCUGAAAUAUAAGGCUUCUUUUGUAUUUAUGACUCACACUAGAGAAGUAGUGCAGUUAGAUGCCAGAACAGUAGUAGUGGAGUACCAAAGACCUGGGGAAUGUCCUGCAGAUCACUUAUGUAUUUUUAACCUCUCCAUUCUGGAAUGCUGGCAACUAAAAGAGAUCAUCAACAUGUACAGAAGGGUUUGUAGUACCAUGUCUAGAUUUAUUAGUUAUCAGUAGAUAUAAUAAUUAUAACUGACUAUAGAAAUGUUAGAUAAGUAGAAUAUUAUGGAAUAUUCUCAGGAAAAAAGGUUAGGAAAUUGAAUCUGUCCAAAUAUAUGCAGAGCUAAGGAUUUUCCUGUGGACUACGUUAGAUAUCAAACUGUAAACUCAAUUUUAGUGUAGUCAGAUGUAUUAGUCUUUUAUUUCAGGCUUUCUGGGUUUGUUGUAAAUCAGAGAAGGACCUUUCCAAUUCUGAGAUUCUUAGGAUUUUGUCAUGAUUUUUCUUUCGUGCAUUGUCUUCAAUUAAAUUUUUGAACUUUGGGGAAUUUAUGCUUGUAUAAAAGUUUGAGGCUUGGAUCCACCUUUAUGUUUUUCCGCUUAACUACAACCUAUUCCUUGUGUAAACAUAGAUUAUUCUUUAAUUUCAGAGAAAAUCAUGAUAAUGUCAUUUUAUUGAGUUCCAGCUAAAAGACUCUUGUUUUACUUAGGUUUCUCCUACUCAUGAAAAAGAAAAAGGUCUGUUACAUAAAAACCACGUUGGGGGCGCCUGGGUGGCUUAGCGGUUUAGCGCUGCCUUUGGCCCAGGGCCUGAUCCUGGGGUCCCGGGAUCGAGUCCCGCGUCGGGCUCCCUGCGUGGAGCCUGCUUCUCCCUCUGCCUGUGUCUCUGCCUCUCUGUCUCUCUGUGUGUGUCUCUCAUGAAUAAAUAAGUAAAAUCUAAAAAAAAAAAAAAAAAAAAAAAACCACAUGUUGCAAGAUGAAAUUGCCAUGCUAAGACUGGAAACAGACACAAUAAGGAAUCAGAAGCACGAAAAGGAAAAGAAAUAUUGUGAAGACACUGAAAUUGAAAAAGAAAAGAAUGAGUCUUCAAAACGCCAUAAAACUGAAUGAGGUAACAUUAACAAAUACACUAUUCCAAUCUACUGGGCAGCUGAAUGUUGUGACAACUGAGAAUACCAUGCUCAACUCUAAAUUGCAGGAUGAAAAGCUAAACAGAGAAAGACUGGAAGCAAAACUUCAAUCAUACCGAGCUAGACUGGCUAUUGCUAGACAGGAUCAUGAUCAAAGUCAGGCAUGAGAAAGAAACCUUAGCACUUGAUUUCCAGAGAGCAGAAGAUGAGUGGUGUCAUUUACAGGACAAAAUGAACUUUGAUGUUCUAACCUAAAAGAUACCAAUGAGGUGCUUUCUCAGCAACUUUCUGAAGCUGAAAGUAAAUUCAAUACCCUGGAAAUUGAGCUCCAGUAUACAAGAGAUGCCCUCAGAGAAAAGACUUGGGCUUUAAAACAUGUACAAAGAAACAUAAAACAAACACAGUGUCAGAAAAAGGAAAUUGAACAGAAAUAUCAAAAUGAGCAAGGUAAAGUGAAUAAAUACAUUGGAAAGCAGAAAUCCAUAAAAGAGAGAUUAUCUCAACUACAAAGUGAAAAUAUGUGGCUCUAAGAGCAACUAGAUGAUGCCUACAGCAGUGUGCAGUGUAAAGAAAGACUAGAAUUGAUCUCCAAGACCAGGUUCAGGUUAUUGCAAGAAAUCUUCAAGCUGAAAGUGAAAAACAAAGUCUUAUACUGCAAGGAAGAAAUUGUGGGACCCAGGAAAUUUAACAAAAAUCCCCUACCCCUGGACAAGCAGAGCAGGACUAACUCCAUUUUGUGCUACACCUGCCACCUCCUGUAUCACCCCCACAUGACCUGCUUAUUGCUUAAGGCGCUGCCCCACCAUAGUCAAGCCGCUGGGCACACCCUAAUCAGAAAUCGGCUCAUAACAAUGUAACCCUGCUUUGUGCCCGCCAAAACUGCGCACCAAUUCUGACCAAAGUAAUAGGCCAGCUCAAAUGGAUACUAUAGGGUAAGGUGUAAUUCAAUUGGCCACCUGCAUGUGGACUGACAGGACUGUGCAACUUUCUGUGUAUCCCAUUGGCCACUGGCCCCUAUAAAGCUGCUACGCCUCUUAGUCUCAGGGUCCAAGUCCCUGCUCCGCUGUGUCGGGGACACUUGGACCCAAGCUCGAGCUUGUAAAUAAACCCUCAUGUGUUUGCAUCGGUGUCGGCUCCUUGGUGGUUUCUAGGAUUCGCAAUCUUGGGCACAACCGAUGCAGGGCUUGAUGCCAGGACCCCAGGAUCGUGACCUGAACUGAAGGCAGAUGCUCAACUGCUGAGCCCUCAUUGCCUAGAUUCCUCAGGCUGUGGCUUUGACUCCCGUGAAUUAUUCAUCACAUAACUAGGAGCCUGUGUCUCCCAUGCCCCUUCACCCAUUCUGCCCAUGCCCCCCACCCACCUCCCCUCUGACAACCAUCAGUUUGCUUUCUGUACUUAUAGGCCUGAGAACCAGUACUUUUUAAAAAUGUAAAUUCAUGGACCCUUUGAGAAACUAACAACACAGAAUGUGAGUGGGCUUGAAGAGCUAUGCCUUGCAUUUUUAAGGCCCCUCAAAAGAAGUAGCUUAGUGUGUGACUAAAAAUAACAUUCGGUGUGUUGCAUUGACUGUCCUGAAUCUGGCUUCCCCAGUGCCAUGUGUAAGCAGCUGAGAAGGUCCUCAGUGUGGGCAGUGACUAGCACCAUGAUUUUAACAAAGCUGAAUGACAAAUUUGGAAAUCUCAUUCUUUGCUCUUUCAAGCAUAUCUAUAACUUAUCUUUGGUAGGUUUUGUCUCAUCUUUAUCCAUCAAUUAUGAUUUUUUUCCACUGUUUCCACUGAGGAUUAGUUUUCUGUAAGAAGUGAUUUUGAUUUUCAAAUACAUAGAAAUCUUAUUUUUUUUCCUCAAGACAUUACCAUGGAAGCCAGUCCUUCAGAAAAAAAAUAUAUAUAUUUUCUUCGUUUUAGGUUUUAUAUAGUCCCACAUUGUGUUCUAGUAUAUAAAAUAAAUGAUUCAACUUUCUAUAGUGGUUUGGGAAAUUAACUACAGUUGUAUAAUGAGUAAGUUCUAUGCUAUUUGCCCCAGUUUAAUGGAGUGCAAAAUAUUAUUGCUUACAUCUAUCUCGAGGAAUGAUUAGAAUGGAGUACUUCUAGUUUCUGGGGCAGUGGAAGGGUCAUCAUGGAAACAGCUGAGGCUACUCAGAUUUGAAAAGGACCUUCCACACAUAGCUGGCUCACUUGGUGCAAAUCUAAAGUGCCUGUGUGACUCACACCUGGCUUGGUGAUAUUUUUGACCUGUAUGUCCCAACCAGGGUUGAGUCCUGCUCCAAGAGUCACUGCAUUCAGGGAAGUUCCAAAAGCAUGGUGCACACAUGAGAUGCUCAUGGUUCCCUGUAGCUCCUUGCAGACAAGCUGCAGUUUACAGGUCAGGGGUCAUUCUUCUACCCCAGGUACUGUUGCUUGGCACUGUCGUCUCCAGAGUACAGAGCGAGAGAGCAUGCUCCUCAUGCAGCAGGAGAGCGGCCACUCCGACGCACAUAGUGCUCAGGAGCAAAAAUGCUUUCAAAUACUUUCCGGGUGAAACAUACCAUUUCUCCCUCUUCCCCUUUCUACUUAUUUCACUAAGGAGAAAAAAAAAAAGUUUAAUUACACAAGUAAUACAUUGUCAAAGAUGCAUAGAUAAAAAAAGGAAAAGAAUUCUUUACCCGUUUUUCCCCUGCCCCCAAUCUCAUUUCUUUCACCGUUUGACAAGUAUCCUUCAAGAAUGUUCUGUGCAUUAAACACCUAUAUAGGGAUGUGCGUAAACAUAUUGUUUAAUGCAUCGAGCACUUCUAGAUGGAUAUGAAUAAAUAUAUAGGGAUGGACAUACAGAAAUCUAUGUCUUUUUGUUUCCUUUUUAAUCAGAUUCUGUCCUACUCUGUGGAUUGUUCUAUAACUUUCUUUCUAGACCAUGUAAUGUGUCAGAGCUGUAUUUCCAUGGUGUGUGUGUGUCUGUCUGUCUAGAUAACCUUUCUAUACAUACAUCUGUAUCUCUGUCAUUCUUCUAAACUAAGGCAUCCUCUUCCAUCAUAUCACAGCUCAAUGAACUAUAGAAUCAUAAUUCUGUUGAUGAAAGCCCCAGCUUUGCCCCUUUUGUAAUAUUUUGGAAGAAAAGAUGUAAAUAUUAAAUGGAUGUUAUCAAAUUGUCCUCCAGGGAUCCCUGGGUGGCGCAGCGGUUUGGCGCCUGCCUUUGGCCCAGGGCGCGAUCCUGGAGACCCGGGAUCGAAUCCCACGUCGGGC